GAUGAACGCUGGCGGCGUGCUUAACACAUGCAAGUCGAACGAUGAAGCCCAGCUUGCUGGGUGGAUUAGUGGCGAACGGGUGAGUAACACGUGAGUAACCUGCCCUUGACUCUGGGAUAAGCGCUGGAAACGGCGUCUAAUACCGGAUACGAGCUUCCACCGCAUGGUGAGUUGCUGGAAAGAAUUUCGGUCAAGGAUGGACUCGCGGCCUAUCAGGUAGUUGGUGAGGUAACGGCUCACCAGGCCGACGACGGGUAGCCGGCCUGAGAGGGUGACCGGCCACACUGGGACUGAGACACGGCCCAGACUCCUACGGGAGGCAGCAGUGGGGAAUAUUGCACAAUGGGCGCAAGCCUGAUGCAGCAACGCCGCGUGAGGGACGAAGGCCUUCGGGUCGUAAACCUCUUUUAGCAGGGAAGAAGCGAAAGUGACGGUACCUGCAGAAAAAGCACCGGCUAACUACGUG
rnacentral:rRNA from 1 species